UACGUAGGGAGCAAGCGUUGUCCGGAAUUACUGGGCGUAAAGAGCGUGUAGGCGGCCCUUUAAGUCAGAUGUGAAAACUCAGGGCUCAACCCUGAGACUGCAUCUGAUACUGGAGGGCUUGAGUAUAGGAGAGGGAAGUGGAAUUCCUAGUGUAGCGGUGAAAUGCGUAGAUAUUAGGAGGAACACCAGUGGCGAAGGCGACUUCCUGGCCUGUAACUGACGCUGAGACGCGAAAGCGUGGGGAGCGAACAGG
rnacentral:rRNA from 1 species